ACCUGGGUGGCUCAGUCGGUUGAGCAUCUGACUUUGGCUCAGGUCAUGAUGUCUCAGUCUGUGAGUUCGAGCCCCACGUCGGGCU
rnacentral:tRNA from 1 species